rnacentral:ncRNA from 1 species
AUAAAUUUUAGUGUUGAUUUUAAUUUAUUUUAAUAAUAAUUUAUUUAUUUUGGUAGUAAUUAAUAUUAAAUUAUUUAAGAAAUUAAGAUUUAGCAAUAUUUAAAUUAAUAACAAAUUUUGUGCCAGCAGUUGCGGUUAUACAAAAAUUAAAUUAAAUUUUAUUAGUUAAUUAAUAAAUAAUUUUAAUAAUAUAAUUAAAAUUUUAAAUUAUUAGGUGAAAUUUUAAUUUAAUAAAAUUUUAUUUUAAUAGUUAUUAUUUAAUAAAUUUUAUAAAAAACUAGGAUUAGAUACCCUAUUAUUAAAAUUUAAAUUUAAAAUACUAAAAUAGUAGAUAAUUAUUUAUUGAAACUUAAAUGAUUUGGCGGUAUUUUAGUUCAUUUAGAGGAAUCUGUUAAAUAAUUGAUAAUCCACGAAUAAAUUUACUUAGUUUAUAAUUUUGUAUAUCGUUGUUAAAAAAAUAUUUUUUUAUAAAAUUAAUAUUUUAAAAUUAUUAAAAUAAAUUAAAUCAGAUCAAGAUGCAGAUUAUAAUUAAGAAUUAAUGGAUUACAAUAAAUUUAUUUAAAAUGAAUAUUAAUUUGUAAAAUUUAAUUGAAGGUGGAUUUAAAUGUAAUUUUAUUUAAUUUAAUAAAGUGAUUAAAAAUUAAAAUAUGUACAUAUUGCCCGUCGCUUUCAUAUAAUUAAUAAGUUGAAAUAAGUCGUAACAAAGUAGAGGUACUGGAAAGUGUUUCUAGAAAGCA